AGCGCACGCCUGCUAGGAUCAGCGGUGGUGGUUCCGCGAUGGUAGGCGGCGGCGGGGUCGGCGGCGGCCUCCUGGAGAAUGCCAACCCCCUCAUCUACCAGCGCUCUGGGGAGCGGCCUGUGACGGCAGGCGAGGAGGACGAGCAGGUUCCCGACAGCAUCGACGCACGCGAGAUCUUCGAUAUCCGCCGCUGCUGGGCGCGGGCGGGUUCCGGGGGCUUGCGGUGGGGGGAGCAGUGAUAUCGAGCAGCUGGUGGAGCCGCAUCCCAGCAGGGCGUUCCUGGCAGAGGGUUCUAAGUGGGCAAGGGCGCAGAGUCCCUUUUCCUUCACUUCCCACAUCUGAUUCGCUCCAUCAAUGACCCGGAGCAUCCACUGACGCUAGAGGAGUUGAACGUAGUAGAGCAGGUGCGGGUUCAGGUUAGCGACCCCGAGAGUACAGUGGCUGUGGCUUUCACACCAACCAUUCCGCACUGCAGCAUGGCCACCCUUAUUGGUCUGUCCAUCAAGGUCAAGCUUCUGCGCUCCCUUCCUCAGCGUUUCAAGAUGGACGUGCACAUUACUCCGGGGACCCAUGCCUCAGAGCAUGCAGUGAACAAGCAACUUGCAGAUAAGGAGCGGGUGGCAGCUGCCCUGGAGAACACCCACCUCUUGGAGGUUGUGAAUCAGUGCCUGUCAGCCCGCUCCUGAGCCUGGCCUUUGACCCCUCAGCCUGCAUACUGGUAUCCUGGUCCCAGCUCCUGCCAGGGCUGUUACCGUUGUUUUCUUGAAUCACUCACAAUGAGAAACUAACAUUUUGCUUUUUGUAAUAAAGUUAAUUUAUAUUCA